GUGCUCGCUUCCGCAGCACAUAUACUAAAAGGGGAAGGAUACAGAGAAUUAACACAACUCCUCUGCAAGAAUGACAUGCAAAUCUGUGAAGUGUUCCAUAUUUAA
ensembl:snRNA U6 U6 spliceosomal RNA